UUGAAAGGGAAACGAUUGAAGUCAGUCAUGCCAGUGGGAAUCAACUUAGGGGAAACUCUGGGUGCACUUCUUCGCUUGGCAGGUCAACGUCGAUUUUGAAUGUCAUAAAAUAAUUGGGGGAAGGUAGCUCCUUCGGGAGUGUUAUAGCCCUUGAUAGAUGUGAUGUUUGGGGUCGAGGAUUGCAACGGAUACCCUUCGGGGCUAGCCGCCUGAUCUCUAAUUGGUGUUGGGUUACGGAUAGCAUGCUGACCGUGAUCUAAUUACUGGUUAAAAGGUUAGAGUGUGCAUAAAUUCGUUAAGGAUGU
rnacentral:rRNA from 1 species